AACGAACGCUGGCGGCAUGCCUAACACAUGCAAGUCGAACGAGACCUUCGGGUCUAGUGGCGCACGGGUGCGUAACGCGUGGGAACCUGCCCUUAGGUUCGGAAUAACUCCCCGAAAGGGGUGCUAAUACCGGAUAAUGUCUUCGGCCCAAAGAUUUAUCGCCUUUGGAUGGGCCCGCGUUGGAUUAGCUAGUUGGUAGGGUAAAAGCCUACCAAGGCGACGAUCCAUGGCUGGUCUGAGAGGAUGAUCAGCCACACUGGGACUGAGACACGGCCCAGACUCCUACGGGAGGCAGCAGUGGGGAAUAGUGGACAAUGGGCGAAAGCCUGAUCCAGCAAGGCCGCGUGAGUGAUGAAGGCCUUAGGGUUGUAAAGCUCUUUUACCCGGGAUGAUAAUGACAGUACCGGGAGAAUAAGCUCCGGCUAACUCCGUG
rnacentral:rRNA from 1 species